ACUGUAACCUCAAGCUGUGAGCCACGUUCCAAAGAGGAACUAAGACACCAAAUGAAACCUGGCCCGGGGACUGGAACACCCACACGGAAAUGCGCGGGCUUCGGUUCUCGUUCGCUCAGCGCCUAGCUCGCUGACAGUGAAGUCAGAUCUCGAGCCCUCACCCUCUCCACCUGUGGCCUUUUCUAACCAAGCAUGGUGGCUGCGUAAAGUUUCCCACACUGGCCAGCGAAGCAGUCAAGAAUUAUGUUUUAUGCAAGAACCAAUUGUUCCAUAGCAGGAAGCCUUCCCAGGGUAUCCCACCACUCAUGGUUGAAAUCAUCCUCAACCCGGCAUUCAGAAAAAAAUGCAAUCACGGGCUCCAUGCCAGUGAUAGAGAGAGAUGGGGAUGCCACCUCCAUGAUUCUGGAAGUCGUGUGCUGCCACUCUCUGCUCACGGUGUCACAAACCUGUUAAAUAUCCCCACAGCCAUCUGAAGGGCGUCCUUGAAGAUCACAUCCCCUGGGAACAGCCAAAGGAGAGAGAAAGUCUCUUGACUUACUUCUUGAUGUUCUCUCACUAUAUGAACGGUUCAGCAAAGGUUUUCUUUAGAUCCCUUUACUGACUGCAUGAUAGCUCAGUUGACUUCCCCAAGACCAGAAGGAAGUAAACCAGAAUACGCCGUUCCACCAUCCAUCCCACACCACAGGCACGGUAGUACCGAAGAGAAUGGAGUGAGCUGAACAUUAUCCAAUCUCUUCUUGACACUCGGAUAAGAAAUGCGCGUGCCUUUGCAUCAAAACCACCAAUGGAAAUGUUAAGGCACAAAUCACCACCUCAAGGUCCCACUUAGUGUCUCCCAGUCAAUACAUCAGUGGAAGGUCUAAAAAAAAAAAUAUCCCAGGCAAUCACGUUCCUGGGAACUUCCGGCCAGAGACCACACUGAGGAAACUCUUGAGGUAAGCAAGUGUAGGAAUAGCUUAUAACCCAGAAGCCCCCUUGUUUCAGGUAUACAAAUUUCUUUCUUGACACAGCGGGAUACAGCCCCACUCUAGAAGUCUCUUUUCUUAUUACUUUACCAUCAAACACACCCUGGAACUAGAAGCAGUGAGCCCAUCCAACCUGAGCAGGUUGGGGUACGUGAGCCUAAGGCCUCUUGGAGUGACCCUUUAGGGACAGCUUCUAUUUGCCAUCCAUGACAAUCUGUACUUGUUACAGGAACUUUCCUGUAACAUUACAUCUGGGUAGAGAAGGUUUGUGAUUGGACAAGGAAAAUGGGGGUGGAGCUAGGAGUUGCAAAGGAAGAGGCGCAGUGCAGGAGUGAGGAGAGAGGUCGCAGCAGGAAUUGAUGAAUGAUGGCUUGUGAUGUUUUUUUUCUCUGUGUGUUUCAUGAGGUUAGAAAUAUUAGGAUAAGACUUUUAUCAUUGUAAAUUGGCAUCUUGUAAUUGUGAGUUUAAUACACAUAAAUCUAAUUGGCUAACUAAUUAAGCAUUAAAAGUUUUGACUUAUAUGGUUACUGGAAUCAUCCAAACACAGGGUCUAUGGCAGGAAGGGAACACAAUGAGAUUCCGUAGUGAAAGUGGUGGCUGUGAGAACCCUGCUGAGCGGGACCCCACCAGGACUUGGUGCUGAGGCCGAGGGGCAGGAGAGUUGGCAGGGAGUUCUUUUUUAGUAUUUCCCACAACAUGUAUUCACAGUCAACUUGACACAGUUUGGAAUUACCUGGGUGUGU